AUUGAACGCUGGCGGCAUGCCUUACACAUGCAAGUCGAACGGUAACAGGUCUUCGGAUGCUGACGAGUGGCGAACGGGUGAGUAAUACAUCGGAACGUGCCUAGUAGUGGGGGAUAACUACUCGAAAGAGUGGCUAAUACCGCAUGAGAUCUACGGAUGAAAGCAGGGGAUCGCAAGAACUUGUGCUACUAGAGCGGCCGAUGGCAGAUUAGGUAGUGGGUGGGAUAAAAGCUUACCAAGCCGACGAUUUGGAGCGGGUCUGAGAGGACGAUCAGCCACACGGGGACUGAGAAACGGACCAGACUCCUCCGGGAGGCAGCAGUGGGGAAUUUUGGACAAUGGGCGCAAGCCUGAUCAAGCAAUGCCGCGUGCAGGAUGAAGGCCUUCGGGUUGUAAACUGCUUUUUUACGGAACGAAAAGCCCCGGGUUAAUACCCUGGGGUCAUGACGGUACCGUAAGAAUAAGCACCGGCUAACUACGUGCCAGCAGCCGCAGUAA
rnacentral:rRNA from 1 species